AAAUUUACAGGGAACGGGAAAGAAAUCACCUUUCAUUUAAAAUCACAUUUCUCAUCUUCUCGAAUUGCCGUCUCUCUAGAACCUCCUCACUAUCUUCAUCUUCUCCAUUAACGACUCUGGAGAUCAAUGUCAUCAUUACCUUUACUUACAGCUAAUCCGUUCACCAUUACCUUACUUCCAUCAAACCCCCACACCAACAAUAGAGUUUCUCAUGACAUUCUCCCUCUCUCUUUCUUCAACGCCACCUCCAUUCUCAAACACGGGUAGGAUAAAAUUUUUUCAAAUCUUUAUGUGUAGAUCCAUUUGUGUGUGUGUUUUACAGAAAGAGACUAAGGCCACAGGUAGGAUAAAACAUUUAAAAUCUUUAUGUGUGUGUUUUAGGGAUCUAUAUGUAUGUAAACCUAUUUAUAUGUAUAAAUUUGUGUAUUUAUGUUUAAUAUAUUUUCGAUUUUGAUGUUCUAAGAGUUUUAUAUUUCAUAUUUUCAGAUUUGAAUCUGCAAAUUCUACACAAAAAGACAAAAAGUUGGAUCUCUUAUAAUCUGUUGUAGAUAUUUGUAGGUCUUACUUACUCAAUGCAGUGUAGAUAUGUGUUUUAGAUGUGUUUUUUGUUGUAUUUUGUAAGUAUCUAUAUUUUGUUUAAAGAUAAAUGAAUUAAUUAGUUCUAUGUUUUUUAUUAUUAUUAUUUAGAUAUGUAUAAUGGAUUUCAAUGAUUUGGAAUAAGAACUAGGAACUGUAUGUCACAGAUUAAGAUUUGUAUUGCAUAAAUUACGUUUGAUUUUUUACAUCUAGAUUUUUAAUAAUUUUAUAUUUUGAUGCAUGAGUGAAGGACAUAAAAACACAACAAAACUAAUUUCCGGUUUUUGUUUUUCUCUUUAGAUGUAAGGUUUUGAUGGUAAAACCUAAAGGUGCAAAAUUUGUUGUUCCAUGAUUUAGUGUGAUUUGUAUAUUCUAUCUAUUUGUAUUAGUAUUGA
rnacentral:lncRNA from 1 species